rnacentral:sRNA from 1 species
UAAGUUAUGUGCGCAUGACAAAACAAGAC